rnacentral:lncRNA from 1 species
GAGCUCCUUAAAACACAUCAAUGAUCAAAUACAAGUGAGAUGACUCAAGACCCAAAGAUUACAAAUGAUGGUUGACUGGGCUUGUUAAAGCGGAAGGCACUGGGCCAGCAGAAAAUAAGGAAGAAUCCACCUCUCUCCUCUCCCCAUUCCUAAAUGCCUCAUUUAAAUGGCACUGGCACCCAGUUCAGAUCCAUAUUCCUUCUUUUCAUGUAAACUGAAGGACACAACAAAGUAUGAGGCAUAACCAUGGUCAAAGAAACUUUCAUGAAGAGGCUGCGCUUAUGCAGUCAUCGGGAGCAAAGUGAUGGGGAGAUUUCAAAACCCUGUGAUCCACCUACAGGACUCGGUGACAUCCAAUUUCUAGUGUUAAAUGACAUAGCUGCUCUAAAGUCAUCAACAAAGCUGAUGGCCAGAAACGUCAUCAAGGAUACAGAAAUGAGACCUUGAAACGAAUUGUUGGCUGCCUUUUUUCUAGUACCCAAACCACAGGAAGAGUCUGACUUCCAAGCUUAAUUGUCUAAGGCAAUGGAACUCAGCAGGCAAUUUGAAAAUAUAUGACGGCCUUCUUCUGGUUGUCGUGAUGACUGCUGGUGAUGGUAGCAGGGAUGGCAGAUGUCUUGCAAUGCACAUGAUGUAUUGCUCAAUGAAGAAUGCCCCAGUGGACACUCAUGGAGAUGAAAAGCCUGUGGAUAAUUAUCUGAGCCUAGAAACAUCCACUGAAUUUCCAGGUGGGUAGUGCAACAACUAUUUACAUGUAGAAUGAAUAAAAGCACUUUCAGAUUUUGUGUGAUUUUUGGAGGGUGACUGAUACGGUUCGGCUGUGUCCCCACCCAAAUCUCACACUGAAUUGUAAUAACCCCCAUGUGUCAAGGGCAGAGCCAGGUGGAGAUAAGUGAAUCAUGGGGGUGCUUUCUCCCAUACUGUUCUCAUGGUAGUGAAUAAGUCUCACGAAAUCUGAUGGUUUUAUAAAUGAGAAUUCCCCUGCACAUACUCUGUUGCCUGAUGUCAUGUAAGACAUCCCUUUGCCCUUCCUUCAUCUUCCGC